UCCUGGAGGAAACCCCGGGAACUGGGGCUAAUCCCAGAUAGAUGAGAACUCCUGGAACGGGUUCUCGUCCAAAAGGCGUCUAGGGCAUGCUUCUAGGCGUCGCUCAAGGAUGGGGCCGCGGCCGAUCAGGCUGUUGGUGAGGCAACGGCUCACCAAACCUUUAACCGGUACGGGCCGUGGGAGCGGGUGCCCGGAGAUGGGAACUGAGACAAGGUCCCAGGCCCUACGGGGCGCAGCCGUUGCGAAAACUCGUCAAUGCACGAAAGUGUGAACGGGCUACCCCGAGUGCUGUCCGCUGAGGAUGGCUUUUCUCUGCUGUAAGGAGGCGGAGGAAUAAGGAGAGGGCAAGUCUGGUGUCAGCCGCCGCGGUAAUACCAGCUCUCCGAGUGGUGGGGAUGUUUAUUGGGCCUAAAGCGUCCGUAGCCUGCCCUUCAAGUCUUUCGUUAAAUCCAGCGAUUCAAUCGUUGGACUGCGGGAGAUACUGUUGGGCUAGGGGGCGGGAGAAGCCGACGGUAUUUCCGGGGUAGGGGUAAAAUCCUAUAAUCCCGGGAGGACCACCAGUGGCGUAGGCGGUCGGCUAGCACGUGCUCGACGGUGAGGGACGAAAGCUGGGGGAGCAAACCGGAUUAGAUACCCGGGUAGUCCCAGCCGUAAACGAUGCGGGCUAGGUGUUGGGGUGGCCACGAGCCACUUCAGUGCCGCAGGGAAGCCAUUAAGCCCGCCGCCUGGGGAGUACGGCCGCAAGGCUGAAACUUAAAGGAAUUGGCGGGGGAGCAC
rnacentral:rRNA from 1 species